rnacentral:rRNA from 1 species
AGUGAACGCUGGCGGUAGGCCUAACACAUGCAAGUCGAACGGCAGCACAGUAAGAGCUUGCUCUUACGGGUGGCGAGUGGCGGACGGGUGAGGAAUACAUCGGAAUCUACUUUUUCGUGGGGGAUAACGUAGGGAAACUUACGCUAAUACCGCAUACGACCUACGGGUGAAAGCAGGGGAUCUUCGGACCUUGCGCGAUUGAAUGAGCCGAUGUCGGAUUAGCUAGUUGGCGGGGUAAAGGCCCACCAAGGCGACGAUCCGUAGCUGGUCUGAGAGGAUGAUCAGCCACACUGGAACUGAGACACGGUCCUGACUCCUACGGGAGGCAGCAGUGGGGAAUAUUGGACAAAGGGCGCAAGCCUGAUCCAGCCAUACCGCGUGGGUGAAGAGGGCCUUCGGGUUGUAAAGCCCUUUUGUUGGGAAAGAAAAGCAGCAGGUUAAUACCCCGCUGUUCUGACGGUACCCAAAGAAUAAGCACCGGCUAACUUCGUG